rnacentral:misc_RNA from 1 species
UGAACGCACAUUGCGCCCAUUAGUAUUCUAGUGGGCAUGCCUGUUCGAGCGUCAUUAAGUCCACUUAAGCCUAGCUUAGUGUUGGGAGUCUACUCUGAGCGGUGCUACCCUGUAGUUACCCUGUAGUUCCUUAAAGACAGCGGCGGAGUUGCGAUACCCUCUGAGCUUAGUAAUUUUUUCCUAGCUUUCGAGUCGUCGCUUCCCCUGCCGUUAAACCCUCUACCCUUGGUAGUUUUUAAUGGUUGACCUCGGAUCAGGUAGGAAUACCCGCUGAACUUAA